rnacentral:misc_RNA from 1 species
CAAUUGUUCUCAAGUACACUGAAUAGAAAAACAUCAAUAAUAAAUCGGUGUAUCGUAUUUUAAGACUAAAGAAUGUCCGAGGACUGGACUGAGAAAAAGUGUUCUAGCGUAGUGGUUACACAGGACGGAGAGAAGAAUAGGUUUCUAACCUGUGGAUCCGUUUCUCCUAUUUCUCAUCUCAUCUUUGAAGUAAACUCGUACGAGGAAAAUGAUGGGAGUGUAUUUCUUCCAGAUGAGGAAGUUAUUGAGAAGGAAGAAGAACAAAGAUCAAUCAGUCAGAGUUGGAAAUAUCUGGUUCUUUUCUCCUUCUGUCUGGGAAUUAUUUCCCCCCUUGGAAUCCUACUCUCCAGAAAUGAGUUGGCAGGAUGGUUAACAAGCUUGUUCAUCUUUAUUUUCUCCGCCCUAACCCUAGCUUUAUUAACUAGUGUUUGGACUUAUCAAGAUAUGCAGAAGAAAACACAGGAAAGACUACUCGACUAUCCCUGGAGCUGUAUACUACGAGGACCCGGAUGAUUUAUUUACUACUCUCUACUCAUCACCAGACAGAAUUAUUAACUACUUCAGCCCUUAAAGUGCCUUUAAUAAUACCAUGUUUUACACGUUUUUUAUUGAUUUUAUAAUAUUUUUUUUUAUGAAAAUAGACGUAUUUAUUUUUCUUGAG